UACGGGGGGGGCAAGCGUUGUUCGGAAUUACUGGGCGUAAAGGGCGCGUAGGCGGCCUGCUAAGUCGGACGUGAAAUCCCUCGGCUCAACCGGGGAACUGCGUCCGAUACUGGCGAGGCUUGAAUCCGGGAGAGGGAUGUGGAAUUCCAGGUGUAGCGGUGAAAUGCGCAGAUAUCAGGAAGAACACCCGUGGCUAAGGCGGCUCUCUAGUACGGUACUGACGCUGAGACGGCGAAAGCGUGGGGAGCGAACAGG
rnacentral:rRNA from 1 species